GGGCCCGCACAAGUGGUGGAGCAUGUGGUUUAAUUCGAUGCAACGCGAAGAACCUUACCAACCCUUGAAAUCUAGCGAAGUUCACAGAGAUGAGAAUGUGCCUUCGGGAACGCUAUGACAGGUGUUGCAUGGCUGUCGUCAGCUCGUGUCGUGAGAUGUAUGGUUAAGUCCAGUAACGAGCGCAACCCCUAUCCUUAUUUGCCAGCGCGUUAAGGCGGGAACUAUAGGGAGACUGCCGGGUGAAACCCGGAGGAAGGCGGGGACGAGGUCAAGUCAUCAUGGCCCUUAUGGGUUGGGCUACACACGUGCUACAAUGGGAAGUACAGACGGCCGCAAACCCGCGAGGGGGAGCCA
rnacentral:rRNA from 1 species